rnacentral:rRNA from 1 species
AUUGAACGCUGGCGGCAUGCUUUACACAUGCAAGUCGAACGGCAGCACGGGGGCAACCCUGGUGGCGAGUGGCGAACGGGUGAGUAAUGCAUCGGAACGCGUCCUGUAAUGGGGGAUAACCUAGCGAAAGUUAGGCUAAUACCGCAUACGUCCUGAGGGAGAAAGCGGGGGAUCGUAAGACCUCGUGUUAUAGGAGCGGCCGAUGUCGGAUUAGCUAGUUGGUGGGGUAAAGGCCUACCAAGGCGACGAUCCGUAGCGGGUCUGAGAGGACGGCCCGCCACACUGGGACUGAGACACGGCCCAGACUCCUACGGGAGGCAGCAGUGGGGAAUUUUGGACAAUGGGGGCAACCCUGAUCCAGCCAUGCCGCGUGAGUGAAGAAGGCCUUCGGUUGUAAGACUCUUUCGGUACGGAAAGAAAUACGCAUCUUUUAAUUACUAGGGUGUGGAUGACGGUACCGU